CAUGAGUUUUAUACACUAUAAAGUGAUCAAAUCAUAUUAUAUUUACAUGGAAAAAGUAAAAAAUAUGUCUAUGACUAUAAAGUUUUUGUAUGCUAUGACUUUAUUUCUUUUCCUAUUUCAUAUUGAAAAGAGCAGUGCUUUAAUUGAUUGUAAAACAGUUGAUGAUUGUCCAAGCAGUUGGACUAAAAUAUAUAAGUGCAUUGACAACAAAUGUAGAUAUAGUGUUGUGAAGGGACUGAUUAUAUGAGCACCAUAUCCGAGAGAGUACACUUGAGUUACCAUUUAGUUGUUGUGUUAGCACCUAAUAAUUGUAUUUUUUUUUAAAUUACUUUUCAUUGUGUAAUAUUAUGAUCCUUUCAAUUAUGUCAUUGUAAUCUAAGAUAUUGGUAAUGAAAUGAAUCAAGGCACUAAUGAAUA